rnacentral:tRNA from 2 species
GCAUGCGACGUCUGGUAACAGACUAGCUCAGAUUCCUAAUCUGAGGGCCAUGGGUUCGAAUCCCGUCGGGUGCACCA